rnacentral:lncRNA from 1 species
AGGCGACCCAAGACCGUCCGCGGAGGGUAGGCUCGCGAGCUGACACCGCCGCCUUGGUCCUGCCGCGGCUGGCCUUACAUAGGGCGCACGACCAGGGAAGGUUGCGGGCCUGGGCCGCAAGGCGCGCCCCGCUGGCAGGCAGAGCGGCGCCGGCGAAGGCGGAGCUGGGGCGGGACGCGAGGGCGCGGGGCGGGCCGGGAGUGCACCUGAGGCCCGGGCGGGGCCUGUCCUGGGGACCUGGCGAGGCCCGGCCUCUGCCAGCCAAGCCUGCUGGGGACGACCGAGGUAGCCCGGGCUCGGCUUAGGAAGGCAGCGGGACUCGAGGCCUUGGGGUCCGAGUCCGAACUCGCUCCUCUAGCGCCGGGCGGGGAGCGAGUGGGAGAGCGGCCGCGAAGCUCCAGUGUUGAAAACGCACCCCUCCCAGCUUUUUGCAAGGCCUACUUGGGGGCGGAGAGACAAGCAAGCUGUCAUGUUAUAAGCAGCCCUUUGAGGGGUCCAUGUGAUGUCAAGGAAUGAAGUCUCUAGCCAACAUUUAAUGAGGAACUGAGGCCCACCAACAACCUUGAGUGAGCUUGGAAGUAGCUCCUUCAGCAUCAGUUGGGUGUCGAGAUGACUACUGACAGCUUGACUGCAACUUCAUGAGAGUCUUCUGGACCAGAACCACUCAACAGGUAACUAGCCAUGAAGACAAUGGACCUUGAAACAUUCUGAAGACUAGAAAAAGUAUGUAAUAAAAUACUUUGAACAACUGUUUAAGGACUUAAAUGUCCAGACUGUUUCUUUAGAUGAGUGUAAUUUCCAAUGUGAAACCCCACAAUUCGGCUUCAAGAGGUACAGGACAGUUUUUGAAUUCCACAGAAAAAAUUUUGCAUUGCAACAAACUUGACCAUCCUAUUUGUGGUAGUAGAAAUGUAAAUUCAUUCCCCUCAGAGAUACCUGCAAAAAUGAAAUGUGAAAUAUUCUGCUUGCAUUUUAAAGACUGGUUAUUGCAUUCUAGAAUAGAUGGAAAAGACAUUAGUGAGGGCCAAUAUAGAAAUAUGAGUUUUCCCAAAAGACUUUUAUGUAUAUAUAUGACAUGGCAGGAAAAUUGGGUCACUAGUGGUUUUUACUUCUUCGUUCAUUUGGCAAACAUAUGAAUAGACUGAUGUGUGCCAAACACUGUUCCGAGUUCUGGGAACUGAGGAAAGAAACAAGCUAUCUGUUUUCAUGGAGCUCGUAUUUUACUUGGAGGAUGGAGAGGCUGACAAUAAACUUGUACAAAUAAAUACAAACUUCAAGUAGUGGUAAUUGCCAAGGUGAAAGAAAAGAGAGUAAUGGUAUAGAAUGACAGUCAUUGGGUAGCUGCUUUAGAUGAAUGGUAAGUGAACAUGUUUCUGAGAAAGUGAUAUCUGAGCUGAGAGGCAAAGGACGAGAAGGAAUCUGUCAUGUGAAGAUCUGGGAAGCAGGUGUACUAAGCAGAAGAGCAGCAAGUACAAAGACUGUGAGGUAAGGGAUGUGCUCGGGGUGACUAAGUAACGGAGAGAAGACCAGCGUGACUAGAACAUAGUGAUCAAAGUGAGUAAUGUUGGAACAUAAGUCAGAGACAUUGGCAGGAGGCCAGUUUUUAUGGAAGCCAAAUUGUCUAGUGCCUUGUAGAUAGUGGCAAGGAGUUUGGAUUUUAUUCUAGAUGGAACACUACCAGAAUAUUUUUUCUUUUUUGAGACAGGGUCUCACUGUCACCCAGGCUGGAGUGCAGUGGCAUGAUCUUGACUCUCUGCAACUUCUGCCUCCUGGGCUUAAGUGAUCCUCACACCUCAUCUUCCCCAGAAGCUAGGACUACACGCACCACACCUGGCUAAUUUUUGUAUUUUUUGUAGAGAUGGGAUUUUGCCAUGUUGCCCAGGCUGGUCUUGAAUGCUGCCCACUUUGGCCUCCCAAAGUGCUAGGAUUAUAGGUGUGGGCCACCGUGCCUGGCCUAUCAGAGUAUUUUCAGGCAGAGAAAAGCAUAAGGUCUUACUUCUAGCAUAAAAGGAACAUUCUGGCUGCUAUAUAGAGAAGGGACUGUAGAGGACAAGAAUGAAAGCAGGUUGACUGAUUAGAAAGCAUUGCAGCAUUAUAGGCAAGAGCUUAUGAUGGCCUGAACUAGAGUGGUAACUGUGGAAGAGAUAAAUGGAUGAAUUCAGAAUAUUUUUGGAGGAAAAAGGUGACAUGAUUUACUAUUGGAUGUGGGCAUGAGGGAAGGAAAUUAAGGAUGACUCCUGGAUUUUUAGCCUGAGCAACUUUAUAGCUUUUCAUGUUUGUUUUUGA